rnacentral:lncRNA from 1 species
UGAUUUUUUGUUUGCUUUUGAACUGAAAUAAUUGACUGUAAAUAGCAGAAGAUAAUGGUGAUGCUAACAACUUACCUUUAUUAAAACUAGCUAAUUGUGUGCACAUUCUUGCAUACGUCAGUUAAAAUUAAAAAAAGAAGAUGUGGUAUGAUUGUAAUAGAAACUCUCCACGCGACCAAAUGAACAGAAACUUACAACUAUAGCACACUGUAGGGCCUUCAACAAAGAGCAAAGCCCAUACCGCAUAGUAUGCUUCAAAAGUCCCCGAAAUGACGAAUGUUUCUA